rnacentral:rRNA from 1 species
AAGAAGGCCUUCGGGUUGUAAAGCUCUUUUGUCCGGGAAGAAACGGUGUUUUCUAAUAAAGAAUGCUAAUGACGGUACCGGAAGAAUAAGCACCGGCUAACUACGUGC